GAUGAAGAACGCAGCGAAAUGCGAUAAGUAAUGUGAAUUGCAGAAUUCAGUGAAUCAUCGAAUCUUUGAACGCACAUUGCGCCCGCCAGCAUUCUGGCGGGCAUGCCUGUUCGAGCGUCAUUUCAACCCUCAAGCUCUGCUUGGUGUUGGGGCCCUACGGUUGACGUAGGCCCUUAAAGGUAGUGGCGGACCCUCUCGGAGCCUCCUUUGCGUAGUAACUAACGUCUCGCAUUGGGAUUCGGAGGGACUCUUGCCGUAAAACCCCCAAAUUUUCUAAUGGUUGACCUCGGAUCAGGUAGGAAUACCCGCUGAACUUAAGCAUAUCAAUAAGCGGAGG
rnacentral:misc_RNA from 1 species